GCAGCAGAGGACACGAACACUCAUCAGCCAUCUGAGACGGGUGGACGGAAGCAAAAGCCUAGCGCCGGAAGGAAACCUGAGAACGGGCCUGGUUCAUCCCUUGGCUCCCGGACCACACCUAAACCCUUAAAGCCCUUAGGAGUUUACUGGGCUGAAGACCUCCAAAGACAAUGCCUAAUCUGCUUAGAAACUCAGUGUUUCUAAGAAUACCCACUGCCAGGAAGUUCGCCGUUGUGAGACAACGACGGCCGAAAAGAGAUGACGCGGG
ensembl:lncRNA